GGCCGCGUACCGUGGGGCCGUCCCGUCGUGCUCUUCUCCGUCGAGGAGGCAAGCGAGGAGCCAGGGAGGAAGCCCUCCAUGCUGCCGCUGGUGCACUUCAUGGGCUGCCGGUGCUAGAGACGACGGCGAGGUUUGGAAGCUGCAGGGUACUUCGGGGCCUCCCCCGAGCUGCUCGGCGUGGAGUCCGCGGCCGAGCCCCUCUCCAUCAUCCUCUUUCUUGAGGCCUCCAAGAUCAUCCUGAAGAUUGGCCUAGCAGAUCCUCACCACCGAAGAAAAUCAGAAGACAACCUGAAGAUUGGCCUACCAGAUCAACCUGAAGAUUGGCCUACCAGAUCCUCACCACCAACCGCUGUUGUCAUCCAACCGUGACUUCACCGAGCCGUCCUUCUCUGCCUCUUGCGUUUUGCAUCUGACCAAGACAUGGGUAAUCUUCUGCUCUUGUUUUGUUUGUUCAUCUUGAGGUCAGAAAUUAGAAUAGUUCAUGCACCAGUUUCUUGAGUACGUUUGGAGGGUGGGGCGAGUGGAGUCCCCAGUGAUUUUCUCCGGCGGCGGCAGGGAUGUGGACCAGUUCUGGCUGUUGCUGCACUGGUAUAGACAGAUUUUGUGAGAGUGGUAAGCUCGAUCUAAUUCCCCACCUAUAUUUUGGUUGUCUAUUUGUUAUUUAUUUCAUCUUUCUAUUGAAUAAUAGAUUCAUGGCUUAAUUUCGUGUGGCUGGUGCAAGCAAGGUACUUCAAGAUGAGGGGGAAGAGGUGGUGGACAUGGGACCGCAGCAUGCUCCAGUGCUGUAGCGGAGAGAUUGGCGGUAGGGCCGCGGUGCAGGAAAAAAAUAGUUGGGUGGUGCUCCUCCGCCUCUUAUAUGAGACUACCAUGGCAAUGAUGUCUGAAUUGAAACACACCACACCUCGUUCAAAUUACACCAUUGAUUUGAAGGAAUAAGGGUCUAAGGAUGUACAAUUUUGCAGCUGAUGGUUUAAUUCUUCAAAUGGGAGCUUCACAUGGUCAUGUUCUCUAUGCGAUUUCUUUUUCUAGAUUGUUGUUUCGUGGUUGAUGCAAAAUUAGUGGUGCAAAAUUGGGGAUUUACCUUUCAUUUGUGCUCACUGAUAGGAACAACUCUACAAGAUUACUGGAGAUCAAUUGCGGGAUAUGAUGAUUGGCAUCCUUAGGCCUGAAUCUUGUAUCUACAUCUAUACGCACUGUCCAAUCUAAAAAAAUAUAUUCAAGGGUAGCUAAUACAUAGUGUUAAACUUGAAGUUUGCAACGGGGCUUUUAAUUGUAAGAACUAACAAGUGUUUCUGGUGCUAUUUAUUUUCGGCACAUGCUUCUUCAGGCGGGUGACUAAUUAGUUGUGGUAUUUUUUCUUCAAAUACAAAAGAAAUUUCAUGGACAUAGUAUGUAUUUUAUUCAGGUUUUGCAGUUUCUAUGCAAAAGAAUGCCCUCAAAAUUGUUGCCUUCUACAUAGUCUGAUUUUACCUAGACACUGAGGAGGUGUAUGCACAGAUGACUCAUCUAAAAUUUGUGGCGUUCUCUGAACUUUUCUGUUUAUAUGUACCAAUGCCCUAAUCAUUGUGUUUCUUUUGAUCUGAUGUUUAUCAGUAUGCAAAAGAAGCAUUCCGACUGUCAGAUUUGCACGAAGCCGAGGCCACAAAUGCAGUUCUUCUGUAAGAUGCUCACCAUGAGUGAUGCAAGCACACAUGGAGGCUUUUCCGUCCCUCACCGUGCUCCUCCUCUUCCUCUUGUAUGAGACGACGGCGAUGGUCUCUGAAUUGGAGCACACCACAUCUCCUUCCUCCUCCAUCUUCCUUCAUGAGUUCCUUAUGUUUUCUUUUCCCUCUUGUGACCUUAUAGAUUGUUACUCUGCAAAUGGUUCUUUACUUUUAAGUUUGGUCAGCUGCUUUGUCCAUGGCCUCUGACACUGAUGGUUACUAAUUAUCCUAAGCAAAAGGGGACAUUUAGGGAUGCGACCGACUAUACUAGGACCCCAUGUGGUUUAUUCUUUGUAUCUAUAGAUUUCAUUAAUUAUGGAUAGCAAUGGGACUCAUUGAUAUGUGUUGUUCUUCAAGUUUAGCAAUAUUUUCUGAUUUGAGUUACUAUCUUAAGGAAGCUGAGGCAAGUCAAAUGUUGAAGAGCACCAAAAGUUUAUUAUGAAACUUGAGGAUGCUAAAGGUU